GCUGUAGGAAGAAUAGGGAAGCACUUUUCAUCUUGCUGCAUUACAACGGCUUGUUAAUGUUGUUGUCUGUGAUAGAAUGUUUGAUACUACCUGAUGUGAUCUGAUUUAAGGCUGGCAUUCUACUUCUCCUCAGCACUGGAUUUUUCCCUGGAUCUCCUAACACCAUGACAUCUGAGGCAAAGAGUCUGUUGCAGGAUGAAAUAGGAUCUGGCUAAAUGUCCUUGCUACUGACAUCACUGAUGAAAUAAUGCUUCUGCAUUCUGCCUUCUGUGACAUAAUGACCCAAGGUGAGCUUCAGUGAGGGAUCUUAGUCUAGAGGUUUAACUGCACGUGCUGGGAGGUUUAAAAGCUACCAUACCUCCAUCAAGUGCCUCUGGAGGAAAUGAUAUAAUAGUAGACAGUAUUAGAUGCAAAUUAGAGUGGGGUUAAAAAGGUGAAGAUCAUCUAUGAGUGUAUGGUAUAGAACUACUGGGAUGCCUGCCAGAGCCCAAGAAGGGAACUCAGUGUGCCAUCAAAUUCCAGAUGAGAGCCCCAUUUUCAACUGAAAUUCUGUGGAAUGUCUUCUGGUGAUAUGAAUGACCCCUCUGUGUGAGCCCCAAACACAUCACAGGCAUACUGCGUACAGAUGGUACAGCUUUGCUUCAAGCAUCGUACCCAUAGUCCUACGACACUGCUGUCUGAAAGUUGCACUGGAAACAAGAACCAAUCUCACUGAUAGCUGGAAGAUGAACAUCACUUAGGGCUGGAGCAGCAGCGACCAUAUCACCACCGCCAUUACGGUAACAGCUGCAGCCAUGUGAUAUUGAAGCGCUUCUCAGGAUUUCACAUCUCAGCCUCUCUCAGUCCAUGCCAAUCUGCACGCAGUCUGGUGCUCCACCUGAUGCUGCCUCAGGGUACAGAGACCCAAAUGCUAAUGAUCCAGCAGAGCCCUACAAGACAAAGAAAGAUCACAGGAGCUCAUAUCAGCACAAUCCACAUGAUUGAAGGAUUCAAGCCCUGGAUUUCAUGUUGUCCUUGGCCAUAAAGCAAACCAGGACACAUACGGUGCACUAGAAAUAAUA
rnacentral:lncRNA from 1 species